rnacentral:rRNA from 1 species
UACGUAGGGUGCAAGCGUUAAUCGGAAUUACUGGGCGUAAAGCGUGCGCAGGCGGUUGGGCAAGACAGAUGUGAAAUCCCCGGGCUUAACCACUGGGAAUGGCAUUUGUGACUGCCCGGCUAGAGUGUGUCAGAGGGGGGUAGAAUUCCACGUGUAGCAGUGAAAUGCGUAGAGAUGUGGAGGAAUACCGAUGGCGAAGGCAGCCCCCUGGGAUAACACUGACGCUCAUGCACGAAAGCGUGGGGAGCAAACAGG